AUUGAACGCUGGCGGCAGGCCUAACACAUGCAAGUCGAACGAGUGGCGGACGGGUGAUUAAUGUCUGGGAAACUGCCUGCUGGAGGGGGAUAACUACUGGAAACGGUAGCUAACACCUCCUACCAUCGGAUGUGCCCAGAUGGUAUGAGCUAGUGGGGGGGGUAAAGGCUCACCUGGGCGACGAUCCCUAGCUGGUCUGCGAGGAUGACCAGCCACACGGGAACUGAGACACGGUCCAUACUCCUACGAGAGGCAGCAGUGGGGAAUAUUGCGCAAUGGGCGCAAGCCUGAUACAGCCAUGCCGCGUGUGUGAAGAAGGCCUUCGGGUUGUAAAGUACUUAAAGCGGUGAGGCGUUAGCCGGAGAAGAAGCACCGGCUAACUCCGUGCCAGCAGCCGCGGUAAUAC
rnacentral:rRNA from 1 species